AUGGCGACAGAGAAGGUGUUGAGCGACGACAACCUGCUGGAGGAGAUCCUCCUCCGGCUCGACCUCCCCACCUGCCUCGUCCGCGCCUCCCUCGCCUGCUCCCGCUGGCUCUGCGCCGUCUCCCGGCCGGCCUUCCUCCGCCGCUUCCGCAGGCUUCACGCGCCCCGUCUCCUCGGCUUCUACGUCGUCGGCGACGGCGUCCCGCGCCAAGACUUCGUGCCGGUCUCGGCGCAGGUGUCGACGCUUGGAUCCGGCGCCUGGACGGUCCAGAUCGCCAAAGCGGAGCUCCCGGAGCCGCCGGACAGAAUCCCCGACCUAACCGUGCUCCUCCGCGGCAAGCUCUACAUGGUGACCACGGCCGGAUACAUCCUCGGGUUAGACUUGGCCGCGGCGAGCUUCUUCGUGGUCCAGCUCCCGGACGGCGUCACGUACCAGUACUUCGGCAGCCUGGUCCUGUCCCGAGGAUACGACGACCACCACCACGACGGUGAUCACCUCUACCUUUUCCAUGUGGUGGAUAGGUUUCAGCUGCAGGUCUGGCGCCGCCGGCCCUGGACGACGGCGGCAGAUGACGAGGCCCAGUGGGUUCUUGUGCACAGCAUCUGUCUGCGCAAGGCGUGCGGCCAUCUUGUGCAGCAGACGCUUGUAGGUUUCUCGGUGGUCGGGGUCGGGGACAACGCCGAGUUCGCCUUCUUGGAGGAGGAUAGUGGCGCCUUCGUCUUGCUGUGGCUAGGGAGCAGGACAGUGGAGAAGGUGUACCAGAGGGACCCGGACAACGAUGAACUCAUCAUCGUGUAUCCAGUUACCAUGGUCUGGCCGCCUGUGUUCCCUCCACAUCAAGCAAGCAGAGCAAAGUUCAGGAACCUGGAAGAGGCAGAGCAA
rnacentral:rRNA from 1 species